rnacentral:rRNA from 1 species
CACGCUGUAAACGAUGAAAACUUGCUGUUAGACAUUUAUAUAUGUUUGGUGGCGUAGCUAACGCGUUAAGUUUUCCGCCUGGGGANUGCUACACGAAGAACCUUACCUACCCUUGAUCUCCAAAACCAAGUAGAGAUAUUUGGGUGCCUUAGGGAAUUGGAUGACAGGUGC